rnacentral:rRNA from 1 species
UACGUAGGGUGCAAGCGUUGUCCGGAAUUAUUGGGCGUAAAGAGCUCGUAGGCGGUUUGUCGCGUCUGCUGUGAAAACCCGAGGCUCAACCUCGGGCCUGCAGUGGGUACGGGCAAACUAGAGUGCGGUAGGGGAGAAUGGAAUUCCUGGUGUAGCGGUGGAAUGCGCAGAUAUCAGGAGGAACACCGAUGGCGAAGGCAGUUCUCUGGGCCGCAACUGACGCUGAGGAGCGAAAGCAUGGGGAGCGAACAGG